UUUAUAUUCUGUUAGAUCAUUAGUUUGAAUGAAUCAAAUUUAUAGUACAUCCAAAAUGUGUUAUUAAGUUGAAGUUAAUUGUGGUUAACUCGUAGCUAUUGUUAAUUGUUUCCAGCUAAUUUGUUAAGGAUAUAUAAUUUUAAAACACUAGAGAUAGAAAAAGCGAACAGAAGGAGUUAGCGACUAGGAAUGGAAGCAUAAGAUCUGAAGGGCCUUGCCUCUAGGUGGAUGUGCUUUGCAUGCAAGUAUUUCGGUUUUGUGGGUAAUUGCAAUUUCAAUUACUUAUAGUGGGUCAAAGCCUGUAUUAAGACAGGAGGAGAAGACUCCAAGAAGAAGAUGAUCGAUAUAUUAGGAGACUGAGAAAAAUUUAUUAGGUUGCAUCCUGUAUUUAGAUGCUUGAUGGACGAUGUAUAAAUAAGCUAUCCUAUAGUAUGUUGGCUAUAAUUGUGCUUUUGGAUAUCCCAGACCAGAUUUUCUGUUGAUGUGUUCUUAAAUGAAUUCAUGAUUCCAAGUUCUGGUCCAAACUCUUAGUUGUGUGGUUGUCCUACUGAUGGUAGGAGGUAGGAAACAAAUAUAAGAAAGUUAAUUUGAAAGGGAAUUUAAAAAAAAACCAUAAGGUUCUUUUGACCUCAGAUGAUAAUUAAUAUUGCCUUAUCUUAAUACUGUCGAAUGAACAAAAAAUAGCUUUAAUACGCUGGAUCAUGAUAUAUAACUUCAAACCCUCCCAUAAGUCAGUCAUGGCAUGAUUUUAUGUAGUUUUUAAACCAC